rnacentral:rRNA from 1 species
AGCUCCAAUAGCGUAUAUUAAAGUUGUUGCAGUUAAAAAGCUCGUAGUUGAAUUUCGGGAUCAAUAUUUCGGUCAUGCCGUUGGUAUGCACUGUUAUCAUUGAUUUCUCACCUUCUAAAGAACCGUAAUGCCAUUAAUUUGGUGUUACGGGGAAUUAGGACUGUUACCUUGAAAAAAUUAGAGUGUUUAAAGCAGGCUCACGCUUGAAUACAUUAGCAUGGAAUAAUGAAAUAGGACAUCCGAUUCUAUUUUGUUGGUUUCUAGGAUCGAUGUAAUGAUUAAUAGGGAUAGUUGGGGGCAUUAGUAUUCAAUUGUCAGAGGUGAAAUUCUUGGAUUUAUUGAAGACUAACUACUGCGAAAGCAUUUGCCAAGGAUGUUUUCAUUAAUCAAGAACGAAAGUUAGGGGAUCGAAGACGAUCAGAUACCGUCGUAGUCUUAACCAUAAACUAUGCCGACUAGGGAUCGGAUGAUGUUAAUUUUUUAAUGACUCAUUCGGCGCCUUAGGAA